rnacentral:rRNA from 1 species
AUUGAACGCUGGCGGCAUGCUUUACACAUGCAAGUCGAACGGUAACAGGCCGCCAGGUGCUGACGAGUGGCGAACGGGUGAGUAAUGCAUCGGAACGUGCCCAGUCGUGGGGGAUAACUACUCGAAAGAGUAGCUAAUACCGCAUACGAUCUAUGGAUGAAAGCGGGGGACCGUAAAGCCUCGCGCGAUUGGAGCGGCCGAUGUCAGAUUAGGUAGUUGGUGGGGUAAAGGCUCACCAAGCCAACGAUCUGUAGCUGGUCUGAGAGGACGACCAGCCACACUGGGACUGAGACACGGCCCAGACUCCUACGGGAGGCAGCAGUGGGGAAUUUUGGACAAUGGGCGCAAGCCUGAUCCAGCAAUGCCGCGUGCAGGAAGAAGGCCUUCGGGUUGUAAACUGCUUUUGUACGGAACGAAACGGCUCUGGUUAAUACCCGGGGCUAAUGACGGUACCGUAAGAAUAAGCACCGGCUAACUACGUG